rnacentral:tRNA from 1 species
CAGAAGGUAGUUAAAUAAUAUAAUAGGGGCUUUGGGAGCACCAGUUCUUCGUCUUGAAGUAUUCUGA